rnacentral:misc_RNA from 1 species
UUUCCGUAGGUGAACCUGCGGAAGGAUCAUUCAUAAUAAGUGUUUUAUGGCACUUUUUUAAAUCCAUAUCCACCUUGUGUGCAAUGUCAGGGUUGGUCUCUUUAGAUCAGCCCCAAACAUCAACUAUUAUCUCAACUCUUUGUCUGAAAAAUAUUAUGAAUAAAACAAUUCAAAAUACAACUUUCAACAACGGAUCUCUUGGCUCUC